GGGGAAUUUUGGACAAUGGGGGCAACCCUGAUCCAGCCAUCCCGCGUGUGCGAUGAAGGCCUUCGGGUUGUAAAGCACUUUUGGCAGGGAAGAAACGGCUCUGGCUAAUACCUGGAGCUACUGACGGUACCUGCAGAAUAAGCACCGGCUAACUACGUGCCAGCAGCCGCGGUAAUACGUAGGGUGCAAGCGUUAAUCGGAAUUACUGGGCGUAAAGCGUGCGCAGGCGGUUUGGCAAGAAGGAUGUGAAAUCCCAGGGCUUAACCUUGGAACUGCAUUCUUAACUGCCAGGCUAGAGUAUGUCAGAGGGGGGUAGAAUUCCACGUGUAGCAGUGAAAUGCGUAGAGAUGUGGAGGAAUACCGAUGGCGAAGGCAGCCCCCUGGGAUAAUACUGACGCUCAUGCACGAAAGCGUGGGGAGCAAAC
rnacentral:rRNA from 1 species